rnacentral:rRNA from 1 species
AAACUAACAAGGAUUCCCCUAGUAACGGCGAGUGAACCGGGAAGAGCUCAAAUUUGAAAUCUGGCGUCCUCAGGGCGUCCGAGUUGUAAUCUAUAGAGGCGUUUUCCGUGCCGGACCGUGUCCAAGUUCCUUGGAACAGGAUAUCAAAGAGGGUGACAAUCCCGUACUUGACACGACGACCGGUGCUCUGUGAUACGUCUUCUACGAGUCGAGUUGUUUGGGAAUGCAGCUCAAAAUGGGUGGUGAGUUCCAUCUAAAGCUAAAUAUUGGCGAGAGACCGAUAGCGAACAAGUACCGUGAGGGAAAGAUGAAAAGCACUUUGGAAAGAGAGUUAAACAGUACGUGAAAUUGUUGAAAGGGAAACGAUUGAAGUCAGUCGUGACCGAGAGGCUCAGCCGGCUCUGCCGGUGUAUUCCCCUCGGUCGGGUCAACAUCAGUUUUGUCCGGUGGAUAAGGGCGGUAGGAAGGUGGCACCCUCGGGUGUGUUAUAGCCUGCCGUCGCAUACAUCGGGUGAGACUGAGGAACGCAGCUCGCCUUUAUGGCCGGGGUUCGCCCACGUCCGAGCUUAGGAUGUUGACAUAAUGGCUUUAAACGAC